UCUAAAAUGGCAGAGCUUAUGCAUAGGACUUAAGAUCCUAAAACAAGGAUACCCUUUUUUAGAA
rnacentral:tRNA from 1 species